UACGAAGGGGGCUAGCGUUGCUCGGAAUCACUGGGCGUAAAGCGCACGUAGGCGGAUCUUUAAGUCAGGGGUGAAAUCCUGGAGCUCAACUCCAGAACUGCCUUUGAUACUGGGGAUCUCGAGUCCGGAAGAGGUAAGUGGAACUCCGAGUGUAGAGGUGAAAUUCGUAGAUAUUCGGAAGAACACCAGUGGCGAAGGCGGCUCACUGGCCCGAUACUGACGCUGAGGCACGAAAGCGUGGGGAGCAAACAGG
rnacentral:rRNA from 1 species